AGUUGGUUUUUGAUCAACGGAAAGCAUGGGAGAAAAAAAAGGAAGAAUUUACGCAAUUUCUUUUCUAAGAAAGAGAUCAUAGUGAUUGAUGGCUCUUUCAAUCCGCCGAAAUGGAACGCUUUGGCGUGUACCAAAAUGGAGAAUUUGGGUCAGAUUUAUAAGCUUACGACCACUGAACAAACUUGGUUGACGAACAUAGUUUAUGCGCCGCAGCUUUGGUGUGUACCAAAAUGGAGAAUUUGGGUCAGAUUUAUAAGCUUACGACCACUAAACAAACUUGGUUGAAGAACAUAGUUUAUGCGCCGCUAAUGUAGCGGCUUGUCGAGCAUUAGACAAACUCACACCAUCCAUUUC
rnacentral:lncRNA from 1 species